CACGUAGGGCGCAAGCGUUGUCCGGAAUUAUUGGGCGUAAAGAGCUCGUAGGCGGUUUGUCGCGUCGAAUGUGAAAACCCGGGGCUCAACCCCGGGCCUGCAUUCGAUACGGGCAGACUAGAGUUCGGUAGGGGAGUCUGGAAUUCCUGGUGUAGCGGUGAAAUGCGCAGAUAUCAGGAGGAACACCGGUGGCGAAGGCGGGUCUCUGGGCCGAUAUUGACGCUGAGGAGCGAAAGCGUGGGGAGCGAACAGG
rnacentral:rRNA from 1 species